GGCUGCGUGGCUCAAUGGAUAAGGCAUCUGACUUUGAAUCAGAAGUUUGUGGGUUCGAGUCCCGUCGGGGUUG
rnacentral:tRNA from 1 species